UUUGUGGAGAGUUUGAUCCUGGCUCAGGACGAACGCUGGCGGCGUGCUUAACACAUGCAAGUCGAACGGAAAGGCCCUGCUUGCAGGGUACUCGAGUGGCGAACGGGUGAGUAACACGUGGGUGAUCUGCCCUGCACUUCGGGAUAAGCCUGGGAAACUGGGUCUAAUACCGGAUAGGAGCCAUUUUUAGUGUGAUGGUUGGAAAGUUUUUUCGGUGUAGGAUGAGCUCGCGGCCUAUCAGCUUGUUGGUGGGGUAAUGGCCUACCAAGGCGGCGACGGGUAGCCGGCCUGAGAGGGUGGACGGCCACAUUGGGACUGAGAUACGGCCCAGACUCCUACGGGAGGCAGCAGUGGGGAAUAUUGCACAAUGGGCGCAAGCCUGAUGCAGCGACGCCGCGUGGGGGAUGACGGCCUUCGGGUUGUAAACUCCUUUCGCUAGGGACGAAGCUUUUUGUGACGGUACCUAGAUAAGAAGCACCGGCUAACUACGUGCCAGCAGCCGCGGUAAUACGUAGGGUGCGAGCGUUGUCCGGAAUUACUGGGCGUAAAGGGCUCGUAGGUGGUUUGUCGCGUCGUCUGUGAAAUUCCGGGGCUUAACUCCGGGCGUGCAGGCGAUACGGGCAUAACUUGAGUACUGUAGGGGUAACUGGAAUUCCUGGUGUAGCGGUGAAAUGCGCAGAUAUCAGGAGGAACACCGAUGGCGAAGGCAGGUUACUGGGCAGUUACUGACGCUGAGGAGCGAAAGCAUGGGUAGCGAACAGGAUUAGAUACCCUGGUAGUCCAUGCCGUAAACGGUGGGCGCUAGGUGUGAGGGUCUUUUCACGACUUUCGUGCCGUAGCUAACGCAUUAAGCGCCCCGCCUGGGGAGUACGGCCGCAAGGCUAAAACUCAAAGGAAUUGACGGGGGCCCGCACAAGCGGCGGAGCAUGUGGAUUAAUUCGAUGCAACGCGAAGAACCUUACCUGGGCUUGACAUACACCGGAUCGGGCUAGAGAUAGUCUUUCCCUUUGUGGCUGGUGUACAGGUGGUGCAUGGUUGUCGUCAGCUCGUGUCGUGAGAUGUUGGGUUAAGUCCCGCAAC
rnacentral:rRNA from 1 species